rnacentral:tRNA from 1 species
AGCGGGUUAGAGCAGUCUGGAAGCUCGUGAGGCCCAUAACCUCAAGGUCGGCAGUUCAAAUCUGUCACCCGCAA